GACGAACGCUGGCGGCGUGCCUAAUACAUGCAAGUCGAGCGGAAUGAUGAAGAAGCUUGCUUCUUCUGAUUUUAGCGGCGGACGGGUGAGUAACACGUGGGCAACCUACCUUGUAGAUUGGGAUAACUCCGGGAAACCGGGGCUAAUACCGAAUAAUCCAUUUCGCUUCAUGGCGAAAUGUUAAAAGGCGGCGCAAGCUGUCACUGCAAGAUGGGCCCGCGGCGCAUUAGCUAGUUGGUAGGGUAACGGCCUACCAAGGCGACGAUGCGUAGCCGACCUGAGAGGGUGAUCGGCCACACUGGGACUGAGACACGGCCCAGACUCCUACGGGAGGCAGCAGUAGGGAAUCUUCCACAAUGGACGAAAGUCUGAUGGAGCAACGCCGCGUGAGUGAAGAAGGUUUUCGGAUCGUAAAACUCUGUUGUAAGGGAAGAACACGUACGAGAGUAACUGCUCGUACCUUGACGGUACCUUAUUAGAAAGCCACGGCUAACUA
rnacentral:rRNA from 1 species